AGCAGCCGCGGUAAUUCCAGCUCCAAUAGCGUAUAUUAAAGUUGUUGCAGUUAAAAAGCUCGUAGUUGAAUUUCGAGAUCAAAUUGUUGGUCGUGCCUUGGUACGUACUGGCAUUAUUGGUUUCUCCCUUCUGAAGAACCAUGAUGUCAUUAAUUUGGUGUCAUGGGGAAUCAGGACUGUUACUUUGAAGAAAUUAGAGUGUUUAAAGCAGGCUCGCGCUUGAAUACAUUAGCAUGGAAUAAUGAAAUAGGACGUUUAAUUCUAUUUUGUUGGUUUCUAGGAUUGACGUAAUGAUUAAUAGGGAUAGUUGGGGGCAUUAGUAUUCAAUUGUCAGAGGUGAAAUUCUUGGAUUUAUUGAAGACUAACUACUGCGAAAGCAUUUGCCAAGGAUGUUUUCAUUAAUCAAGAACGAAAGUUAGGGGAUCGAAGACGAUCAGAUACCGUCGUAGU
rnacentral:rRNA from 1 species